rnacentral:pre_miRNA from 1 species
AGCCUUUUGUAUUCGUGUUCAGAUUACGUUAGCGACCAAUCCGUUAGGGCUGAUGCAACUUCUUAAAUAAGUGAAGCG